GACGAACGCUGGCGGCGUGCUUAACACAUGCAAGUCGAACGGAAAGGCCCUGCUUUUGUGGGGUGCUCGAGUGGCGAACGGGUGAGUAACACGUGAGUAACCUGCCCUUGACUUUGGGAUAACUUCAGGAAACUGGGGCUAAUACCGGAUAGGAGCUCCUGCUGCAUGGUGGGGGUUGGAAAGUUUCGGCGGUUGGGGAUGGACUCGCGGCUUAUCAGCUUGUUGGUGGGGUAGUGGCUUACCAAGGCUUUGACGGGUAGCCGGCCUGAGAGGGUGACCGGCCACAUUGGGACUGAGGUACGGCCCAGACUCCUACGGGAGGCAGCAGUGGGGAAUAUUGCACUAUGGGCGGAAGCCUGAUGCAGCAACGCCGCGUGCGGGAUGACGGCCUUCGGGUUGUAAACCGCUUUCGCCUGUGACGAAGCGUGAGUGACGGUAAUGGGUAAAGAAGCACCGGCUAACUACGUG
rnacentral:rRNA from 1 species